rnacentral:tRNA from 1 species
GCGAGAAUAGCUCAAUAGGUAGAGUAUCAGCCUUCCAAGUUGAUGGUUACGGGUUCAAAUCCCGUUUCUCGCU